UACAGAGGUCCCGAGCGUUGUUCGGAUUCACUGGGCGUAAAGGGUGCGUAGGUGGCCUGGCCAGUUUGAUGUGAAAGCUCAGGGCUUAACCCUGAAAUGGCAUUGAAUACUGCUGUGCUGGAGGUUUGGAGGGGGGACUGGAAUUCUUGGUGUAGCAGUGAAAUGCGUAGAUAUCAAGAGGAACACCAGUGGCGAAGGCGAGUCCCUGGACAACACCUGACACUGAGGCACGAAAGCCGGGGGAGCAAACAGG
rnacentral:rRNA from 1 species